rnacentral:rRNA from 1 species
GACGAACCGUGCGAACGUUGUUCGGAUUCACUGGGCUUAAAGGGCGCGUAGGCGGUCGACCAAGUCUGGGGUGAAAUCUUUCGGCUUAACCGGAAAAGUGCCCCCGAUACUGGCCGGCUAGAGGGAGAUAGGGGCAUGUGGAACUUCCGGUGGAGCGGUGAAAUGCAUAGAUAUCGGAAGGAACGCCGGUGGCGAAAGCGACGUGCUGGAUCUCUUCUGACGCUGAGGCGCGAAAGCCAGGGGAGCAAACGGG